rnacentral:lncRNA from 1 species
CCAUCUCAUAUAAACCCUCAGAUUGCUUUGCAAACCCAACCGGGCAAUUCAAUUUCAUUCAAUCUCUCUAGUCAGGUUUGCCUUAUUCCCAUUACUUUAUGCUUUUAAUUUGAAUGCUCUGAAUGUAUAAGGUAUUAUGGGUGAAUUUGAUACCCUUUUGAUGCAUGUGUUUGACAAGAGGUUUAGGCCUCCUACCCUUGGUUGCUUUUUGUGAGCUUUU